GUAAAGUUGUUCUCUGGUAGUUUCUAAUUCGUUUUGUAAACGUCUCUCGCUGUCUUUUAACGUUACUAAUUCCUGUAUUCUCUUUGAUACCAAUGCUU